rnacentral:rRNA from 1 species
UACGGGGGGGGCAAGCGUUGUUCGGAAUUACUGGGCGUAAAGGGCUCGUAGGUGGCCAACUAGGUCAGACGUGAAAUCCCUCGGCUUAACCGGGGAACUGCAUCUGAUACUGGAUGGCUUGAGAUUGGGAGAGGGAUGCGGAAUUCCAGGUGUAGCGGUGAAAUGCGUAGAUAUCUGGAGGAACACCGGUGGCGAAGGCGGCGUCCUGGACCAACACUGACACUGAGGAGCGAAAGCCAGGGGAGCAAACGGG